rnacentral:pre_miRNA from 1 species
AGCCUUCUGUAUCUGUGCUGAGAUUUCGUCACACACCAGACCACACGGGCUGAUGAGACUUUCAAGAU